UAACCUAUUGGUAUUAUAUGUACAUUUGCACACUAGCGCGCCAGUGUAGCACCGCUUGUGUCUACGUAAUAAAUGUAGUUCAGUCUUCCCUCUUAAACACUAGUUUGUUAUUUGUAUAAACACAAAUGUAGAAUGCCAGUAAGUCGACCACAGAUCACGAUCUAACAGAAUGCAGGAGAGCCGCUGGUCGCCCACUUUUACUGUAUACGGAUGUAUGCAAACGCUCUUUAAAAUCGACACUAGCAGCUGGGAAUAGGUGGCACUGGAUAGAUCCACAUGGAGAGAGCAUAAAGGAAAGGUAUCGGAUUGCAGAAGGGUGAAAAUGCAACGGCGCCUGGUGAUUACAUUUGCCUAACCUGUGACCACGGCUGUGUAUCGAAGAUUGGCCUAUAUUCACACAAGAAAAGAUCGUCUCUCGAGAGGUACAUGCUUGUUACCAACCUAAAAAUGGAAUUAUCCAAAAACCUGUGGCUCUGACGAUAAAAUUCCACUGCAUCAUCUUAGCCUGCGUGUUGACAAUAGAAAUAAAAGUGUAGUUGUGCACAUCAA